AUGAAAAAAUAUCCAAUGGUUCAAAAUAUUUGAAGAAAUUAAACAAAAGCUCUGUUAUUCGACUUUUGACGAUGCGAAUAUAAGCAUAAAUGCAAUUUGGGUACUUCUCAUUACAGAAUCAUUGAUGGUUUGGAGGUCAGUUCAGACCAAUUUUAUUAUGAUUCCAUAUGGUUUGAAUAUCAAAUUGGUGUACCUAUAUUAUAAAGAAGGAUAUAGCUACAACAUAAACAAAAAAUGGAAACUUUUGUCGUGAUCAUAACAAUACGUAGUUAAAAAAAACUGUCAAAAUAGGUGCAAUUUGGGUACCGUCACGUUA
rnacentral:lncRNA from 1 species